CAACUCAUUCCACCUUGCAUGGUCUCAUCCUUUACUAAGCGCCUCGCUUGCCUUGAGCACCAUCAAGUAUAGUUGUCAACGUUGAGCCGUAGCUCAAACUCAGCCAUCCCAACCUUUGUGCGGUCCGCAUUCUUCCAAGCUUGCCUGUUCUCGUGGUGCCUCUUGCGCGAAGGGUUGGCCAUUCCUCUGAAUGCCAAUGUCAGAUGC
rnacentral:lncRNA from 1 species